CGCGUGUUUUAAACUGACUGACGAGUUGACUGCUUGAUGACGUGACUUCGAGAUUUCAAAUAAUCUGUUAGACUGCGACACCGAGGCAACUAUGUGAAAGCGCAAAAGCAUCGCCAGGAAGGCAGAGGACACGUCAAACCUGGUAUCGGAAGAUGAUGCUGUGUAGAAGCGAAAGAGACGUCUUCCCAGAGAUUUAGCAAAUCUUCUAGUGAUUCCGGAAUUGACGCUGAUCUUGAAUCGGUUAGGACCAAAGAAAACAACAUGUACGCGGAGGAACGAUUAAGGCUGUGGCAGCAGAGGUACCAAUGCCGAAACUGAAUGCGAAGUCCAAGUCCACAUCACAUUUUUCAGUUCCAACCCACAACUCCAGCAAGGGCUCGGGCUUCGGAAAGCAAUUUUCAAGUGCAGGUACUGUGUACGCUGCAGAGGCUGGAGGAAGGGCAGCAGCAGCUGAAGCAGUUGGUACAAAAACUGCUUUUGUCCAAAUCGAGAGCGGCCGUUGAUGUGGAAGACCUGAGGGAGCCGUUUACCAAACCAGUGAACACCAAAUUUUCAUUCAAGGUAGAUUAAGAUACCUUCAUUCAGGGGCAAUGCAAAAAUCCUAAAACUCGUAUUGAAACCAAAUUUGACCAUUUCAGCUAAUAAUGGAGAAACUUUAUCAGCGACAUAACAGUUUUGUUGGUGCAUCUUUUUUAAUUUAAUUGCCAUCAUCUUGUUGAGAAUGCAAGACAAAGUUGUAUAGGUCUGUAAAUUUACUACUUUUUGUAAGGAUGCUGAAACCGAUGGCCCGAAUUCACAAAGGAGGUUUGAGCUCAAACCUUGGUUUUCGUACGUCAUAUGACGCGUUUUACGCGUUUUUUACAAACCUGGUUUGUAAAGAACAAAAGGAGGUUUGGCGAAACAAAAGGAGGUUUGAGCUCAAACCUUGGUCUGAGCUCAAACCUUGCUUUGUGAAUUCGGGCCAAUGUGUGUGCUGCCAAACUCUCUUAUAACCUUGUCUUCUAUAUUCAUAGACCCUUAAAUUUGAGUAUUUAUAUUUGCCUGUUAAUAAUUCAUAUCAACUCAAUUCUAUCAGUUUAUUGUAAAAAGCUUUUUGUAGAUUGUUCAUGUGUUUUGUGUUGAUUUUAUAUUUGAAGUAAGAUGCAAGGCUUCUGGGAAAUCUUAACCUGCCCACUAAAUCUUUGGUCGAUCAAAAGGACAAUUUUUUACUGGGAUUUAAAGGGGAAAUCUACCCUAGAAAUUUCACUGCUUCAAUCAAAGGAGACAAAUUUGAACAAAAUUAAAAAUAAGAAAUGGGCAAAACUCGGUAAGGAAACUACUCUUUUUUUUACAUUUUCUAGUAAAUUACUCCCGGCUAUUCAAAUUGACAAUGCUGAUGACAUCUUGAGUAGCUCUAAAUUCACUUUGUGCACAAAAUU